GCGGCGGCCUACACAUGCAAGUCGAGCGGUAGAGAGAAGCUUGCUUCUCUUGAGAGCGGCGGACGGGUGAGUAAUGCCUAGGAAUCUGCCUGGUAGUGGGGGAUAACGCUCGGAAACGGACGCUAAUACCGCAUACGUCCUACGGGAGAAAGCAGGGGACCUUCGGGCCUUGCGCUAUCAGAUGAGCCUAGGUCGGAUUANNNANUUGGUGAGGUAAUGGCUCACCAAGGCGACGAUCCGUAACUGGUCUGAGAGGAUGAUCAGUCACACUGGAACUGAGACACGGUCCAGACUCCUACGGGAGGCAGCAGUGGGGAAUAUUGGACAAUGGGCGAAAGCCUGAUCCAGCCAUGCCGCGUGUGUGAAGAAGGUCUUCGGAUUGUAAAGCACUUUAAGUUGGGAGGAAGGGCAUUAACCUAAUACGUUAGUGUUUUGACGUUACCGACAGAAUAAGCACCGGCUAACUCUGUGCCAGCAGCCGCGGUAAUACAGAGGGUGCAAGCGUUAAUCGGAAUUACUGGGCGUAAAGCGCGCGUAGGUGGUUUGUUAAGUUGGAUGUGAAAUCCCCGGGCUCAACCUGGGAACUGCAUUCAAAACUGACAAGCUAGAGUAUGGUAGAG
rnacentral:rRNA from 1 species